rnacentral:rRNA from 1 species
UACGUAGGGCGCGAGCGUUGUCCGGAAUUAUUGGGUUUAAAGGGUGCGUAGGCGGUUAAUUAAGUCAGUGGUGAAAUCCUGGAGCUCAACUUCAGAACUGCCAUUGAUACUGGUUGACUUGAGUACAGACGAGGUUGGCGGAAUUGAUGGUGUAGCGGUGAAAUGCAUAGAUACCAUCAAGAACACCGAUUGCGAAGGCAGCUAACUAGGCUGUAACUGACGCUGAGGCGCGAAAGUGUGGGGAUCAAACAGG